rnacentral:rRNA from 1 species
UACAGAGGUCCCAAGCGUUGUUCGGAUUCACUGGGCGUAAAGGGUGCGUAGGUGGCCAGGUAAGUUUGGUGUGAAAGCUCGGAGCUUAACUCCGAAAAGUCAUUGAAUACUAUCUGGCUGGAGGGUCGGAGGGGAGACUGGAAUUCUCGGUGUAGCAGUGAAAUGCGUAGAUAUCGAGAGGAACACCAGUGGCGAAGGCGAGUCUCUGGACGACUCCUGACACUGAGGCACGAGAGCUAGGGGAGCAAACAGG